ACCACUUCAAAGCAUUACAUUCUGCCAAUGUUUUGGAUGUAUGGUUACUUGACCCAGGUUAUGGAAACCUUUGAUAGAGUAUGGAUUAAUUUCAGUGAGGUUGAAUGUAAGUUUUUAAUCCAUGUAUGGUGACUUGACCAAGUUAUGGAUGCCUUGAAUAGAAAUGUUACUGUUAUCAAACAAACUGUAUACAAAACGUUUGAUUUAUGUUUCUCAUCAAAACAUAUAUAAAUCAUGUAGAACUCUUACAGCUUUGAGGGAUGUUACAUCUAUAAGUUUCAGUCAUUUUAAGAAGUAAGAAAUAAGUUAUGUUUUGUCUGGAACACUAUGAACGCGUCAUCAACCACGUGGUGAAGAAGAACGUUGCCAUUUUGUGUUGAAUGCGUGUGGACCUGGGGAGAUAUCUUUCAAGGUAAUUAAAUCUUACCAAAUAUGUCACUGUUAGAGUCAGUCACUCUAAAAUACUCAUGACUCAUUCACGAAUUUAGGGAAUAAAGCAUGUUUUUCUAUCGUGUGAAAGCGUAGUUGACUUUCCUUAGAACUAUGCAGUUAAUUGGUGUAAUUCGCUGGGGGGAGGGGGAGUUACUAACUGCAUGCUUAAGCAACUCAAAAUGUUGGCGCAUUUUUUGGGAUAUAUUCACUAUACCACGGUGGGGAAAGUCGUUGGUAAUGUCUUUAUUUGUUAUGCUGCUAUGCCCGGUAAAACGUAAAAACGUGUGAGUAUAUUAAUUGGGCCAGUGAGAAUUUUGAUGGUCCUGUCUGUAGCCGAGGGCUCUGUAGGCGUCACGUACACGCGGCAAUGGCAGCUAGCGUUUAGCAUUAGGCUAAUAUUAGCAUCGCUGGGUAGCAAAGGCAUUCAUAGUUUAAGCGGUUUGGUCUUUACCAGCUAUACCUAGCCUUCCCCAGUCAUUGUAACGGACUGGGUAUUAUGUAAUGUUGUGUUAUGUGUUUUCCUCUGUUAAAAUAGUUUGUUUAUUUCCAUUUCACGGGGUUGAGUUGUUGGGAUUCCAGAGAGUUGGUGGAUAUGUCAUAGGCUGUAGGGUCGUGAUUGGCUGAGAACCAGGAAACGUUAUCGUUGUUCUGGGGAGAGAGCUAGGCUAAAGUGCGAUGCUAAUAUUGGCCUAAUGCUAAACGCUAGCUCCUAUUGCCGAGUUUUCGUGACGCCUACGGAGCCCUCGGCUAUAGACAGACCGUCGCCGUUCUCACUGACCCAACAGUUUAUUCGAUGUAGUUGCUUUUGCGUUGGCUACAGCCCACAGUAGCCUGUGUAUUAAUUGGGAAAUAAAUCGCCAGAAAACCCCAGUUCCGUCUCGUGGCAUUUUUACAGAGGGACGCUACAAUUUUUUUCUGUAGGUAUAGGUAAUUGGUGUUGAGACAGUUGGGUUGAGACGGGCUUCUGCUUCAAGCAUUGUUCCUAAGGCUCUGUAGAAAUUUGAUAUGGCAGUGUAAGGGGUGUUCCGUUGCAGUAGCUACAUCACCAUCAUUACAUGAUUCUUCAGCUGAUUGCCAGGAUGAGGAGUUUGUGGAAGAGGAAGUUUCUGUUGCACCCCUAGAUAAAUGCAGAAUUUAAGCGCAUUACCACCAUGCCCCUGCAAUCCAGAUUUCUGACACAGCUGGAUGUAAGAUCUGACAAACUUCUAAAGCUGUUCGAAAAACGAGGAGGACAGAUAGGCAAGCGUCUUGAGAGAACUUUGGCCCCCAUGACUCAAGAAGAUUACGUUGAUGCAGGGCGGGAAUGUGUUCUCAAGUGGCUGUGUGUACCUCAACGAAGACCCAGCAAAUCUUGUCAGGGAGUUCGUGGCAGAAGACGAAGCCGCCAUCAAAGAAUCGAUUGAGGACACCACGGUGGGAAUAUUUGUCGUGAAAAAUGAUGCAACCAGUGGUCCAGAGGACGUGGGGAUUGUCCUGGAAGGCCUGCAGAUAAUGCAAGGACUGGACAACACUGCAUUAGCUGCUGCCAUAUUGUUUGGCCUAAUGUAUGUAUUGAACCUCAACUACCCUCCUGAGCUAAAGAACAUGUUUGAAGUGCGCCAAAAAGUUGUGAUGGAGCUGGACGGCACCACGCUCUCAAAGAAAGCCCAAGUUCUCAAAAACAGACUGAGUGAGCUGUUGUCCUAACCCUGCUCAUUGACUUGAUUCUGGACUGUACACAUGCAACUUUGCGGUUCUUUGUUCUUGUUCUUGCAGUAUUUACAUACAGCAUGUCUACUGUAUUAUCAAAUGAAUGUUUUCUCUGGAGCUCAUGCGUUCCCAAAAUGUGACUCGGAUUUGCUGUUUUCUCUUAAAGUAAUAGAGCUGCUGAAUGAGCAGUUGCCAUGGACUAUGUUUGCUCUGUGAAUGCACUUGUCUUUUGACAUGCACUCAUGCAGCUUUAGUUUUUCCUUCAUUCUUUUGGCAGUACUUAGAUUCUUGGAAGAAUUACAUUUUUCGUAGUAUUAAUGAUGUUUGUCUAGGUCUACUCAUUGUUUGUUGUGCGGUGAUUCAUUCAAAACACUGGCAGUACUUUUUUAUUUUAUUAUUUUAUUAGAAUUUUAUGCAAAGUAAAAAAAAACAUAAUGCAACCUAACAUGUUUUGGGAUUUCAGUGUUAAAAAUGUCUAGUGUUUUCCAAAAAUGUCCAAACUAUUGCUAUUUGAAGGUGGAGUCAGCGAUUAAGGGGAAUUCUUGUUGUCAAAAUCAGUGAAUAUCUCAUGAUGCACUACCUGUCCGUACUUAUGUGCUAUAAAUCUUUUGUUAGUGCUCAGCCUCUGUAAACCAAGGACCUAUGGACAUGCAAUUUGUAGGCAGGACAAGCAUUCUCCAGAGUCAGCUCUAAGUUUUACAUGCCUAACACUGGCUGUGCUAUUUUAUUUUAUUUCAUUUUAAUCGACCAAAGUAAUGGGAUUUCAGUGUUAAAUGUUGUAUUGGGAUUUCAAGCUUUGGGAUUUCAGUGUUAAAUGUAGUAUUUGAAAGAAAUACAAUAGAAAGUUGGUUAUUUGUGCCUUAUUUAGUCUCAUACUUACUUGAGCAGUAAGUAUGAGACUAAACAUUUAGUCAUACUUUUUCAACUUUUUUUUUACAUGUUUUGAAAGAUGAAUCACAUUAUUUUCUGUCCAUAUACUGUUAUAUUACAUCAAAUAUAAAUUAUUUUACAACCUUUUUCCAUUAAAAACCAGCUAAGAACAGCAAAUUUCUGUCCAUUUAAUCAGUAUUAUUCGUAAUACAACAUUUAUUUACCAUAUUUCUAGGUAAUUUCAUCGUUUUAAAAUGUGAAUGUUUCUAAUUAAACAUUAAAAACAACAUGAAAAUAAGGCAAAAUCUUGUUAAAAUUACAACUUUAAACUGUUUUAAAAUGUGAAUGUUUCUAAUUAAACAUUAAAAACAACAUGAAAAUAAGGCAAAAUCUUGUUAAAAUUACAACUUUAAACUGUUUUAAAAUGUGAAUGUUUCUAAUUAAACAUUAAAAACAACAUGAAAAUAAGGCAAAAUCUUGUUAAAAUUACAACUUUAAACUGUAUUUUAAUUAUGGAAAUUAACCGUAUUUUUACGAGAAAGAAAUUAUCUGUUAUUUCACAGUAUUUUUCUGGCACCCCAGCUGCCAGAAUAUUACCGUUUUUUUACGUUGUUUUUUUUUACAGUGUGUCCACGGGAAUACUGGUCCAAUGAGGGACACUCAUUGACCAUUGAGUUUGACCUGUCCUAUCAUGAGCCAAUGGGAAUAGCCUUGACGGUGGUGUCCCUGAUCGGGGCUGUUCUGUCUCUGUCCACUGUGUCCACCUUCCUCUAUCACAGAGAGACUCCUGUCAUAAAGUUCAGUAACUUUGACCU